AGCAGCCGCGGUAAUUCCAGCUCCAAUAGCGUAUAUUAAAGUUGUUGCAGUUAAAAAGCUCGUAGUUGAAUUUCGGGAUCAAUAUUUCGGUCAUGCCGUUGGUAUGCACUGUUAUCAUUGAUUUCUCACCUUCUAAAGAACCGUAAUGCCAUUAAUUUGGUGUUACGGGGAAUUAGGACUGUUACCUUGAAAAAAUUAGAGUGUUUAAAGCAGGCUCACGCUUGAAUACAUUAGCAUGGAAUAAUGAAAUAGGACAUCCGAUUCUAUUUUGUUGGUUUCUAGGAUCGAUGUAAUGAUUAAUAGGGAUAGUUGGGGGCAUUAGUAUUCAAUUGUCAGAGGUGAAAUUCUUGGAUUUAUUGAAGACUAACUACUGCGAAAGCAUUUGCCAAGGAUGUUUUCAUUAAUCAAGAACGAAAGUUAGGGGAUCGAAGACGAUCAGAUACCGUCGUAGUCUUAACCAUAAACUAUGCCGACUAGGGAUCGGAUGAUGUUAAUUUUUAAUGGUCUCAUUC
rnacentral:sRNA from 1 species